GUUGUCGCGGCUGAGUGGUGAAGGUGAUAGGCUAGAAAUCUUUUGGGAUCUUCUCGGGCAGGCUCGAAUCCUGCGGACAUUG
rnacentral:tRNA from 1 species